AGUGAACGCUGGCGGUAGGCCUAACACAUGCAAGUCGAACGGCAGCACAGUAAGAGCUUGCUCUUACGGGUGGCGAGUGGCGGACGGGUGAGGAAUACAUCGGAAUCUACUUUUUCGUGGGGGAUAACGUAGGGAAACUUACGCUAAUACCGCAUACGACCUACGGGUGAAAGCAGUGGAACUUCGGGCCUUGCGCGAAUGAAUGAGCCGAUGUCGGAUUAGCUAGUUGGCGGGGUAAAGGCCAACCAAGUCGACGAUCCGUAGCUGGUCUGAGAGGAUGAUCAGCCACACUGGAACUGAGACACGGUCCAGAGUCCUACGGGAGGCAGCAGUGGGGAAUAUUGGACAAUGGGCGCAAGCAUGAUCCAGCCAUACCGCGUGGGUGACGAAGGCCUUCGGGUUGUAAAGACCUUUUGUUGGGAAAGAAAAGCAGCAGGUUAAUACCCCGCUGUUCUGACGGUACCCAAAGAAUAAGCACCGGCUAACUUCGUG
rnacentral:rRNA from 1 species